UGGGGAAUAUUGGACAAUGGGCGCAAGCCUGAUCCAGCCAUGCCGCGUGAGUGAUGAAGGCCCUAGGGUUGUAAAACUCUUUCGUGGGGGACGAUAAUGACGGUACCCCAAGAAGAAGCUCCGGCUAACUUCGUGCCAGCAGCCGCGGUAAUACGAAGGGGGCUAGCGUUGUUCGGAUUUACUGGGCGUAAAGCGCGUGUAGGCGGGCUGGAAAGUUGGGGGUGAAAUCCCGAGGCUCAACCUCGGAACUGCCUCCAAAACUUCCAGCCUGGACUCAAGUAGAGGCAAGUGGAAUUGCGAGUGUAGAGGUGAAAUUCGUAGAUAUUCGCAGGAACACCAGUGGCGAAGGCGACUUGCUGGACUUGUAGUGACGCUGAGACGCGAAAGCGUGGGGAGCAAACAGGAUUAGAUACCCUGUAGUCCCUGAGCGGGCUGGCAAGGCGCAU
rnacentral:rRNA from 1 species